UACGGGGGGGGCAAGCGUUGUUCGGAAUUACUGGGCGUAAAGCGUGCGUAGGUGGUGAGUUAAGUCUGAUGUGAAAUCCCCGGGCUCAACCUGGGAAUGGCAUUGGAUACUGGCUCGCUAGAGUGCGGUAGAGGGUGGUGGAAUUCCCGGUGUAGCAGUGAAAUGCGUAGAGAUCGGGAGGAACAUCUGUGGCGAAGGCGGCCACCGGGACCAACACUGACACUGAGGCACGAAAGCUAGGGGAGCAAACAGG
rnacentral:rRNA from 1 species